rnacentral:rRNA from 1 species
AGGGCUUGUCACAGGUGCUGCAUGGCUGUCGUCAGCUCGUGUCGUGAGAUGUUCGGUUAAGUCCGCUAACGAGCGCAACCCUCGCUGUGUGUUACAAGUGUCACACGGAACUGCCGGUCAUAAACCGGAGGAAGGUGGGGAUGACGUCAAGUCAGCAUGGCCUUUAUAUCCUGGGCUACACACACGCUACAAUGGGAAGGGACAAUAGGUUGCGAAGCCGCGAGGCGGAGCCAAUCCAGCAAAACUUACCCUCAGUUCAGAUUGCAGGCUGCAACUCGCCUGCAUGAAGUUGGAGUUGCUAGUAAACGCAGGUCAGCCAUACUGCGUUGAAUACGUUCCCGGGGCUU